ACCAGGUGCAGUGGCACGUGCUUAUAGUCCCAGCUACUUGGGAGGCCGAGGUGGGAGGAUCACUUGAGGCCAGGAGUUCUGGGCUGUAGCGCGCUAUGCUGAUCAGGUGUCCGCACUAAGUUCAGCAUCAAUAUGGUGGCCUCCCAUGAGCGGAGGACCACCAAGUUGCCUAAGGAGGGGUGAACUGGCCCAGGUUGGAAACAGAGCAGAUCAAAACUCCUGUGCUGAUCAGUGGUGGGAUCAUGCCUGUGAACAGCCACUGCUCCAGCCUGGACAACAUAGCGAGACUGUCUCU
rnacentral:SRP_RNA from 1 species